GACAGAGGGGGCAAGCGUUGCUCGGAAUUACUGGGCGUAAAGGGUGCGUAGGCGGGUCUUUAAGUCAGAGGUGAAAUCCUGGAGCUCAACUCCAGAACUGCCUUUGAUACUGAGGAUCUUGAGUUCGGGAGAGGUGAGUGGAACUGCGAGUGUAGAGGUGAAAUUCGUAGAUAUUCGCAAGAACACCAGUGGCGAAGGCGGCUCACUGGCCCGAUACUGACGCUGAGGCACGAAAGCGUGGGGAGCAAACAGG
rnacentral:rRNA from 1 species